CAGUCGCCGCGGGAAUACAGAGGGUGCAAGCGUUAAUCGGAAUUACUGGGCGUAAAGCGCGCGUAGGUGGUUUGUUAAGUUGGAUGUGAAAUCCCCGGGCUCAACCUGGGAACUGCAUCCAAAACUGGCAGGCUAGAGUAGGGCAGAGGGUGGUGGAAUUUCCUGUGUAGCGGUGAAAUGCGUAGAUAUAGGAAGGAACACCAGUGGCGAAGGCGACCACCUGGGCUCAUACUGAUACUGAGGUGCGAAAGCGUGGGGAGCAAACAGGAUUAGAUACCCGUGUAGUCCCUGUCUCUUAUAC
rnacentral:rRNA from 1 species